GGUAGUCCACGCUGUAAACGAUGUCGAUUUGGAGGUUGUGCCCUUGAGGCGUGGCUUCCGGAGCUAACGCGUUAAAUCGACCGCCUGGGGAGUACGGCCGCAAGGUUAAAACUCAAAUGAAUUGACGGGGGCCCGCACAAGCGGUGGAGCAUGUGGUUUAAUUCGAUGCAACGCGAAGAACCUUACCUACUCUUGACAUCCAGAGAACUUAGCAGAGGUGCUUUGGUGCCUUCGGGAACUCUGAGACAGGUGCUGCAUGGCUGUCGUCAGCUCGUGUUGUGAAAUGUUGGGUUAAGUCCCGCAACGAGCGCAACCCUUAUCCUUUGUUGCCAGCGGUUCGGCCGGGAACUCAAAGGAGACUGCCAGUGAUAAACUGGAGGAAGGUGGGGAUGACGUCAAGUCAUCAUGGCCCUUACGAGUAGGGCUACACACGUGCUACAAUGGCAUAUACAAAGAGAAGCGACCUCGCGAGAGCAAGCGGACCUCAUAAAGUAUGUCGUAGUCCGGAUUGGAGUCUGCAACUCGACUCCAUGAAGUCGGAAUCGCUAGUAAUCGUAGAUCAGAAUGCUACGGUGAAUACGUUCCCGGGCCUUGUACACACCGCCCGUCACACCAUGGGGAGUGGGUUGCAAAAGAAGUAGGUAGCUUAACCUUCGGGAGGGCGCUUACCACUUUGUGAUUCAUGACUGGGG
rnacentral:rRNA from 1 species